rnacentral:siRNA from 1 species
GGAGUGUGAAGAUCCUGAAUGCC